AUUGAACGCUGGCGGCAUGCUUUACACAUGCAAGUCGAACGGUAACAGGGAGCUUGCUCCGCUGACGAGUGGCGAACGGGUGAGUAAUGCAUCGGAACGUGCCUAUUUGUGGGGGAUAACGUAGCGAAAGUUACGCUAAUACCGCAUACGCCCUGAGGGGGAAAGCGGGGGAUUCGUAAGAACCUCGCGCAAUUAGAGCGGCCGAUGUCGGAUUAGCUAGUUGGUGGGGUAAAGGCUCACCAAGGCGACGAUCCGUAGCGGGUCUGAGAGGAUGAUCCGCCACACUGGGACUGAGACACGGCCCAGACUCCUACGGGAGGCAGCAGUGGGGAAUUUUGGACAAUGGGCGAAAGCCUGAUCCAGCCAUGCCGCGUGAGUGAAGAAGGCCUCGGGUUGUAAAGGCUCUUUCUAGCCGGAAA
rnacentral:rRNA from 1 species